rnacentral:lncRNA from 1 species
GGAGGUGCUGGCGAAGGCAGUGGAAAUCAGCUGAGUCUUAUUUUGACUUCAGCUGAGCUCGACUGAUGGAAAGUUAUAAAGAAGUUCGUCAUAAAGCAGCAGUAAGGACUUCACUGUUAAGCUUGUUUUCCCAUUUUCUGUCUGGAAGUUGGAGGGAUUUGAAACUCAUCCAGGGAUUUGAAACUUCAGCAGUUUCUCUUCUUAUAUACUCGAACCAGGCAAAGGAAAUUUUCAGGCUGUAUUAUGACCUUAAUACUUCCAUGCAGCCCAUUAUCUGCUCAUUAUUGAGCUAUAAUAAACAUGGAGUCCUUGAAGUACUUUUUUCUUCCCAAAUCUCUUUAAGAAAGAACACUCGCAAUAUCGAAUCAAGGACAUAUUGUCAAACGGAAUCAUUUCAGGAUGAGAUCACUCAAGUGUAUAUAAAUAGCACAGACAAGACCUAAACCUGAGAUAAGAUCACCUUGAAAGAAGCAGUAUUCUUGUGGAGAAGUUGUACCUGGAGGGGAAGAACAUCCAGGCUUUCCCAGAAUUUCAGCCCGUGCUGACAAGCUGCGAAUUUGGGGUGUGAACUUUUUAUGUGGUGAAGGCCAGCCUGGAAGUAUGAUGCUUUCACUGGCAGACUGAGCCAGCUCCUUAACAGUCAGGAGGUAGACCUUCCUUCAAAAACACAUGAAUUUUGGUGUGGUCCUUGUUUUUAUGUUACUGAUUUCUAGGCUAGCUUACACAGCUGUUUAUAACAGUUCUGUUCAUCAAUGUUUUGUUUACUUAUUGCCUAUAAGCUUUUUAUAUAUGUGUUCCUAAAAGGAUUUUAGUGAGGUGCUAAGUUAGAGACAUGCUAUAUCUAGACUUCUACCUUCAGCUUAUCUGACUUGCCAGUAGAGUUGAGAAACUUAUCUAAUAUUUAAUGGGUGCCAGGUUUAAAAUGGAAGGCGGAUUUGAGAAAAGGCUGAAAAAAUAUUUAUAGUGCAGCCAAAGCAAUUAGAGAAGCCAGCAGAGACUGUAUUUCUCCUCUUAUUCAGGAAGAAUUUACUGCUUCUCCUUUGUCUAUCACUUUCGAAGAACUAUCGGAAGAAUAAUAUACUAAAAUAGUCACCUCUCAGUAAAAAUGCAGGAGGCAAAGGAACUAAAAUGGGUGGGGAUUGGCCAAAUAACUGUUAUUGUCACAAUUCUACUGUGCGCUUCUAAAAAAUGCGUUUAAAGAACAUGGCCUGUGAAAGAAUUGGAAUGGAGUGAAUAAUGGAAAAAUAUUCAGAAAUAUGCUAUUCAGAACAUUUAGUGUAUUCAUAAAUUAUUCACCCCCACAGAAGUGCAGGUGCCUCAGGAUUUUUGUGUGUAAUGUGACAUCCUCAGCUGGCGUACGCUGGCACUGCUGCAUUUGUUUUCAUGGAGGGAUGCCAGUUUACAAAAAUCUGCCCCACGUUAUACCUUUGUUUUGUACUCUUCUUAUUUU